AUAAAUAGUAUUCUUCUUCUAGAGAAUAUAUUUUCUGGGUCAAAAUUGGGUUAAAAUAGAGUCAAAAUCGAAUAGGUUCGGUUAAAUUUUGGGUAAUUCAAACCGGGUGUAUAAUUAUUGGUUAACUGGUCGGUUCAAUUGGAGGCGUAGUUUUAACAACAAAUCCGAAAGUACGUGUAGUUUUAUCGAGAUUAAAGUUUUUUAUGGUGGUUUUUCAAGUGACUAAAAGUUUAGGAUGGAAAGUUGAGAUUCCAACUAGUAGAGGGUUGAAAAUUCAGGCAACCCUACAUAUAUCGUAUGCUCUACAAAAUAAAUAUA
rnacentral:sRNA from 1 species